ensembl:snRNA U2 U2 spliceosomal RNA
GUCGCUUCUCAGCCUUUCGUCUAAGAUUGAGCGUAGCACCCGUUCAGAUCAGUUGAAUAUCUGAUAUGUUCUUAAUGUAAGAAGUAUAUAUUGAAAUGGUUUUUGAAACUAGGAGCUUGGAUAAGAGCUUUGCUCAGUGCAGUCCACACACUGACCUGGCAUUGCAUGCUCCCUAGGAGCAACAUAGGUAAA